GCUUCUGGAUGCACUGAGAUGUCUCAGUAAAACUAGGGGUGGAGAGGAGAGGCAAUGGACAAGUUAAAAUCAGCCAUCAGUGGGAGAAGGCUGCAGAGGCUCAGUUCCUCUUCAAGGUUUGGGCCCACCCAAACCAACUAGAUCUAAGUUUGGGAUUUGGCUUAGGGUUGAAGGAGGUUGGUCCUAGAAGGAAAGUGAGAAGAAAUCUUAUGUAAACUUCCUAGAGACUAGGGCACUAAAGCUGGUGGGAAUGGGAAUAAUAUCAAAUUGGAUAGAAGCCACUGUUUGUAUUUUUCAAUUUUUUUUAUUUUUUAUUUUUAUUUUUAUUUUUUAAGGACUCAGAUUUCCCUCCCUUCCCUCCCUUCCUUUUUUUUUCUCUUAAGAAAGAAGAUUGAUUUACAGCUUUGGAACAUUUCCCCAUGAAAAUCCUGGGAGCAAAUGAUCCUCAAAGGAUGGAGGCCAAGUAAACUUUGAAAAUCUGAGAUGAUCAUUAGCAUAGCUUCAUGAUUUCCUUUCUCUUUUCUUCAGCUGUCCCAUGUCUCAGCUAUAUGACCUCGGAGAUGCUUAGGAGAGGAAGGAGGAAUCUCUUCAGAAAUGAAGAUGACAUGAAAAUGAAAUUUGUCAACACAAGUUUAAAAUAAUGAAGAAAAAAAAAGAACUCUGGAGAAGGAAAGAAAAGGAAAAAAAAACUCCAAAUAAUUGAGGAUGAACUACCUUGGGAAGACAUGGGCCUAGUAAUGAUCCAGUUCAUCUGUGCCCCAGUGUGACAGGGACAGUGAUGGAACCUUCCUGAUUCACUAUAGAAAAAGGAUCAACAACCAAAGCCAGCCCUUGAUUUUAGGCCCCAAGGCCCUUUCAUACAGGACUCACCUUCGUCCUCACCAUGGCUAAGUUAGUUAAGGGAGGUUAAUUAUAAGACAUUGGAUUUAAUUGCUACCCAAAAAGUCCAGUUCAGCUCAGUCCUGUUUUGCUCAAUAUUUUAAAACUAAAAUAAAACAUUUACAAUACAAAAAAGUGUUUCCAGAGUC